UCCCUGGAGGACUAGUGGUUAGGCAACAGCGCUCUUACCACUGUGGCCCGGGUUUGAUUCCUGGCCAGAUAA